UACGAAGGGGGCUAGCGUUGCUCGGAAUCACUGGGCGUAGAGCGCACGUAGGCGGAUUGCUAAGUCAGGGGUGAAAUCCUGGAGCUCAACUCCAGAACUGCCCUUGAUACUGGCGGUCUCGAGUCCGGGAGAGGUGAGUGGAACUGCGAGUGUAGAGGUGAAAUUCGUAGAUAUUCGCAAGAACACCAGUGGCGAAGGCGGCUCACUGGCCCGGUACUGACGCUGAGGUGCGAAAGCGUGGGGAGCAAACAGG
rnacentral:rRNA from 1 species